rnacentral:rRNA from 1 species
CACGUAGGCGGACUGGAAAGUUGGGGGUGAAAUCCCAGGGCUCAACCCUGGAACUGCCUUCAAAACUAUCAGUCUGGAGUUCGAGAGAGGUGAGUGGAAUUCCGAGUGUAGAGGUGAAAUUCGUAGAUAUUCGGAGGAACACCAGUGGCGAAGGCGGCUCACUGGCUCGAUACUGACGCUGAGGUGCGAAAGCGUGGGGAGCAAACA